rnacentral:rRNA from 1 species
CCUACGGGGUGCUGCAGUGAGGAAUAUUGGUCAAUGGACGAGAGUCUGAACCAGCCAAGUAGCGUGAAGGAUGACUGCCCUAUGGGUUGUAAACUUCUGUUAUAGGGGAAUAAAACGUUCCACGUGUGGGAUGUUGUAUGUACCAUAUGAAUAAGGAUCGGCUAACUCCGUGCCAGCAGCCGCGGUAAUACGGAGGAUCCGAGCGUUAUCCGGAUUUAGUGGGUUUAAAGGGAGCGUAGGUGGAUUGUUAAGUCAGUUGGGAAAGUUUGCGGCUCAACCGUAAAAUUGCAGUUGAAACUGGCAGUCUUGCGUACAGUAGAGGUGGGCGGAAUUCGUGGUGUAGCGGUGACAUGCUUAUAUCUCAC